AAGUCGAGCGGAACGAGUUGUCUGAACCUUCGGGGAACGAUAACGGCGUCGAGCGGCGGACGGGUGAGUAAUGCCUGGGAAAUUGCCCUGAUGUGGGGGAUAACCAUUGGAAACGAUGGCUAAUACCGCAUAAUAGCUUCGGCUCAAAGAGGGGGACCUUCGGGCCUCUCGCGUCAGGAUAUGCCCAGGUGGGAUUAGCUAGUUGGUGAGGUAAUGGCUCACCAAGGCGACGAUCCCUAGCUGGUCUGAGAGGAUGAUCAGCCACACUGGAACUGAGACACGGUCCAGACUCCUACGGGAGGCAGCAGUGGGGAAUAUUGCACAAUGGGCGCAAGCCUGAUGCAGCCAUGCCGCGUGUAUGAAGAAGGCCUUCGGGUUGUAAAGUACUUUCAGCAGUGAGGAAGGUGGUAGUGUUAAUAGCACUAUCAUUUGACGUUAGCUGCAGAAGAAGCACCGGCUAACUCCGUGCCAGCAGC
rnacentral:rRNA from 1 species